rnacentral:rRNA from 1 species
GACGAACGCUGGCGGCGCGCCUAACACAUGCAAGUCGAACGGAGUUGUGUUGAAAGCUUGCUGGAUAUACAACUUAGUGGCGGACGGGUGAGUAACACGUGAGUAACCUGCCUCUCAGAGUGGAAUAACGUUUGGAAACGAACGCUAAUACCGCAUAACGUGAGAAGAGGGCAUCCUCUUUUUACCAAAGAUUUAUCGCUGAGAGAUGGGCUCGCGGCCGAUUAGGUAGUUGGUGAGAUAACAGCCCACCAAGCCGACGAUCGGUAGCCGGACUGAGAGGUUGAUCGGCCACAUUGGGACUGAGACACGGCCCAGACUCCUACGGGAGGCAGCAGUGGGGGAUAUUGCACAAUGGGGGAAACCCUGAUGCAGCGACGCCGCGUGAGGGAAGACGGUUUUCGGAUUGUAAACCUCUGUCUUUAGGGACGAAAAAAUGACGGUACCUAAGGAGGAAGCCACGGCUAACUACGUGCCAGCAGCCGCGGUAAUACGUAGGUGGCAAGCGUUGUCCGGAAUUACUGGGUGUAAAGGGAGCGUAGGCGGGGAGACAAGUUGAAUGUCUAAACUAUCGGCUUAACUGAUAGUCGCGUUCAAAACUAUCACUCUUGAGUGCAGUAGAGGUAGGCGGAAUUCCUAGUGUAGCGGUGAAAUGCGUAGAUAUUAGGAGGAACACCAGUGGCGAAGGCGGCCUACUGGGCUGUAACUGACGCUGAGGCUCGAAAGCGUGGGUAGCAAACAGGAUCAGAUACCCUGGUAGUCCACGCCGUAAACGAUGAAACGAGGUGUGGGGGGACUGACCCCUUCCGUGCCGGAGUAACACAAU